GAUUGGUGUAAAUUGUGUGUUUGAAAUUUGUCCCAGUUCUUUUUCUGACAUUUCCGCUGUUCGUGCUCAGAAAUGCUUUGAGCGGUAUAAACAGAAGAAGCCAUAUAAUAUUGACCAGCAAUAAUUUGAUGAAAAGCAAGAAAACAUCGACCCAUGCCAACAAAGCUUCCAAGGAAGUGUCCAUGGAGUGUCAUCCCGGACAUUGUAUCCGGAUCCGGAUCCCGGACACGCUCAGAGGUGGUGGCUUCAUUUGAAUUACUUUUAAUCAGUUUACGGUGUGUUCUUUUCAAAGUGGAAAGCAAAAAAACUUCGUUCCAUACAAAUAAAGCUUCCAAGAAAAAGUCCCGUGUGUACGAGCUUUGGUGGAAUCCCAAGCAACCAGAAUUCCCUUAGAAAGGUUCCAUAGAAGCUUAAUCAGCUCUCGUUUCUGUCUGAAGAGAAUGCUAAUCAGCCCAAAAUUUAAGUUAUUAAAGCUACUUUCAAGUUCGUUUCACUGGCUGUAGGGAACGCUAUACAACCUUUAAGGGAAUAUUAAGAAACUCUCAACGCACCGAAAAAAAAUCAGGUUGACAGUUCGUUCUGACAACCAGAUGACAGACUGCUGAAUGGCCGGUCUAUCUAGAAUUUUCUCAUUGACAUGUUUACAUAAUUACAGGUUUGUUGUUGUUGUUUACUCACUUUCGAAGCCAAAAACCGCUGCUUACCGCCUCAAGAUUCGAUCCACUGUUCACUAGGUUAGAAGUUAUAACCUCUAGCCGCUCGACCAUACCAGCUCAUGCUCAUCUGCUGUCUAAAGAUGUAU